rnacentral:lncRNA from 1 species
CCCCUUCUUCUUUUUUUGUGUGUAUGUGUAGAAUUUUAUGAUAGUGGGUCAAGGCAAUCCUUUCAAGUCUAAGCUAGCCAAAAGGCUUGGAAGACUGCAUUCAACUUUUGCCUUUUCUCCAAUAUAGUGCUGAAAAAGAUCCAAGUUAUAUCUUUUUUAUUUCUGAAUUUUCACCUGAAGUCAAUAUUUCACACACACAAGAGAGAAAAGUAACAAGUGAGAAAAUGAGAGUAAGCAUUCAAAAUGAAUUUACUAACAUAUAUAUUACUUUUACUUAAUGUCAACAAUCUUCUCUAUAUACAGUAUAAUUUAAAACCACACAGCCAAGAAAAAAAAUAUUUCAGACCCUUUAAGGAUUUGAUCUACUUUGGCCUAAUAUCUAAUUAGAAACCUUAUAUUACAAACCAUCAAUACAAAUCCAAAACAAAUUUCUAUAAGAAACAAAAACAAAAAUCUAGAAAAUCAUACAAAAUGGAUCUAUUAAUUCUGAGGUGUUGAAUCAACCACUGAGUUAUGCCUCUUUGAAGGACCUGAAGGUGGAACUGAGCCUUUUGGAAAGAAGUUGAAAACAAGGUCUUGGGAAUGAAAACCUUGUUGGUAGUGCUUUCCCUUGAGAAAAUCUUUUGUUUCAUGAUUCACUCUCAUAGGUUCUAAUGUUCUUAUUGCAGUGCAAGGACCAAUAAGGAGUAAAUAAAGCAUAAGAAGAACUAGAGAUUUUUUUUUGCAUGUUUCAUGCAAUGAUUUAGAAGAAUGAGAACUUGCCAUGGAAAAAGGGCUAUAGGGAAUGUAUAUUUGGUGAUACUUAUAUAUUUCUAUUCUGAAGCUUUAACUCGUUUUGUAUGUAGGGAGAGAUUGAAGGAAGUAAGGGGUGUUGAGCUUUGUGAGGAAGUUUUUUAGGGAGAUGGAAGAGUCUUUAUAUAUGUGUGUUUGCAUGGGGAACAGUGAAAAAGUUAGGCAAUUGGGAUUGUCAAUUUGGAUCAAGAAUC